rnacentral:lncRNA from 10 species
AUUUGUUCCUUUGCUCCACUCUUACCAACCUUUGCUCUGAUUUGUGCCAUGAGGACUAGAAACCUGGAAACCUACGUUUCCCAGCUACUCCAUCUCCCCACACCGCAGGCUUUCUGUUAUGUUCUGAUGAUGCAGUUGAAAGUCAAAUGCCAGAAGAUUGCGGGUAGGAGGCAGGAAUAGCUUACAGCUCUCACUCAGAUGGAUGGAGCAGCACGUGGAGACUCAUGUUAUCAACUUUUGCUCCAAGAACUACUGCAGGAACAUAUCAGGAAAGCCAAGAGAAUCCACAGACCCUUUGAAGGAACUGUACCACCCCUGCAGACUCCCUGAGAUGCCAAAAACUGUGAAUCUGCUUGCUUUCUCAACUGGGAGGCUCAUGGUCUGGGCUUAACUCCCACUUAUAAGUGAAAAUACGUAAUGGUCUCCAACUCCAUCCAGGUGUCUGUGAAUGCCAUUAUUUCAUUCCUUUAUAUAGGUUCCCCAGUGAGGAUUGUCAGGCCUCUGAGCCCAAGCUAAGCCAUCAUAUCCCCUGUGACCUGCACGUAUACAUCCAGAUGGCCUGAAGCAACUGAAGAUCCACAGAAGAAGUGAAAAUAGCCAGUUCCUGCCUUAACUGAUGACAUUCCACCAUUGUAAUUUGUUCCUGCCCCACCCUAACUGAUCAAUUGACUUUGUGACAAUACACCCUCCCUACCCUUGCGGUAAUGUAAUUUGUGAUAUUCCCUCACCCUUGUGAAGGUACUUUGUACUAUACACCCUCCCCACCCUUGAGAAGGUACUUUGUAAUAUUCUCCCCUGCCCUUAGGAAUGUACUUUGUAAGAUCCACCCCCUGCCCACAAAAAAUUGCUCCUAACUCCACCGCCUAUCCCAAACCUGUAAGAACUAAUGAUAAUCCCACCACCCUUUGCUGACUCUCUUUUCGGACUCAGCCCACCUUCACCCAGGUGAUAAAAAAGCUUUAUUGCUCACACAAAGCCUGUUUGGUGGUCUCUUCACAUGGAUGUGCAUGACAAGGAUGUGUGUUUGGAGGCAGGUUUUCCCCUUUCGCCCUUGGUAACUCACAGUUUCUCUCCUGUCUUAUGGAAUUUGCAGAGGCAUGCUGCUUAUUUCAAAUAAUCUGUGAAUUAUUUCAGUUUUCUUGGUACAUUCCUGCAGUGGUUCUUGGAGAAAAUCCGCUGUAUGAGUCUCCACACACUGUUCUAUCUGUCCAAGUGGGAGCUGCACAAUUGUCCUGUCUGCUAUCUGCCAUCUGCCUCCUAAAUCCCCCUGUCUUUUCUUCAGCCUCUCAUCUUCACCCCUGCAUACACACAUAUACAGGCACACAAAGUUGUCACAGAGCCUUUCAAGAAUAUUUUGAAUACUUAUCUGAGUAUAUAAAGUAGAGAUCUGAAGCUCUAAAAAUGAAAGUUUUUAAAAAUAAAAUUUGGCUUAGGAUGUGGAAUCUGUCCUCAUAUCAUUAACAAAAAUAUGCUUUGGAUACCACUUUGACAGUCCUCCAACACCUAUAUCAGUCAACAGGCCAACACAAAACAGAUGGCACACUCCAAAUAAGGCACCUGGAGGAGGGUGCAUCUACAACGGACCUAGUUACAGAGGUGUUAAGUACAGGGGAAUCGCGAGAGGUAGUGUUGCAAUCUAAGACUCAGUAAAGAGAAGAGAGAAGAGAUUAGUUAACAGAGAAUUUAGAACAGUGACCUGGACAAAGGUCAGCUUAUCUUGCAAGGAGAGAGUUAGGCAAAUAAUGCCCUGACCUCAUUCUGCAACUCCCCGCUAAACUUCUGGGGCUUCCCAUUGGUUGGACAUAGGGGAUGUUAGAACACAUGAGAACCUCUCAAAAUCCAUACAGGCCAGGCUCUCAGAGAAGACAGGAGAGUGAAAAACUGGCAGAAAGUGGACCUAAAGGAGAAAGUGAAAGAUGCUCAGAACAAUAUUCUUAUUCAGAGGUUAUACAAAGAUUGUUUUAAUUAAAUAUACAAUAUAUGCUGGAA